AUUGAACGCUGGCGGCAGGCCUAACACAUGCAAGUCGAACGGUAGCACAGAGAGCUUGCUCUCGGGUGACGAGUGGCGGACGGGUGAGUAACGUCUGGGAAACUGCCCGAUGGAGGGGGAUAACUACUGGAAACGGUAGCUAAUAACGCAUAACGUCGCAAGACCAAAGUGGGGGACCUUCGGGCCUCACACCAUCGGAUGUGCCCAGAGGGGAUUAGCUAGUAGGUGGGGUAAUGGCUCACCUAGGCGACGAUCCCUAGCUGGUCUGAGAGGAUGACCAGCCACACUGGAACUGAGACACGGUCCAGACUCCUACGGGAGGCAGCAGUGGGGAAUAUUGCACAAUGGGCGCAAGCCUGAUGCAGCCAUGCCGCGUGUAUGAAGAAGGCCUUCGGGUUGUAAAGUACUUUCAGCGGGGAGGAAGGCGGUGAAGUUAAUAACUUCACCGAUUGACGUUACCCGCAGAAGAAGCACCGGCUAACUCCGUGCCAGCCGCCGCCGUAA
rnacentral:rRNA from 1 species